AGGAUGAAAGGAUGGGUAUGGAAAGAAUGGAAAUUAUCACACUACUAUUGUUGCUCUUCUAUACUGCUAGAACCGAAGACAAGUUUGACGAUCCAGAGCAAAAGUGGUAUCCAAAUAGACGCCGGGGUAACGAUGCUGCCAGUUUCUAUGGAGGAAGUAUUUGGUACUGGCUCCAAUUAAUGUUUAUACCACCUUUCUUUGCACUUUUGAUAAUAAUUUUUUCCUUUGUUGCCUGUGCACGUGGAAGAGUAUGUGCCUGUUGCAACAGAGGUAAAAGGAGCACUAUCACCGUGCAAGUGGCCUAAUUGCUCUGAUUUCUUAGUCUGAAAACCGGUAACUAUUAACUGGUAACUGGUAACUGGUAACUGGUAACUGGUAACUGGUAACUGGUAACUGGUAACUGGUAACUGUAACUGGUAACUGGUAAUUGGUAACGGGUUACCAUAUCAGAGACCUCUGAAUAGCUGCAAAAUAAUCACAAUGAAGUCCUUUGAACUAUAAAACCAUUUACAACCCUUACUUUUCAACCAAUAUACCCUUUGAGGCUUUCAUGCAUGGUGCAUGGUCAUGAUAUCAUUAUUAUUUA